rnacentral:rRNA from 1 species
CCUACGGGAGGCAGCAGUGGGGAAUAUUGGACAAUGGGCGAAAGCCUGAUCCAGCCAUGCCGCGUGUGUGAAGAAGGCCUUCGGGUUGUAAAGCACUUUCAGUGGGGAAGAAAGCCUUGGGGCUAAUACCCUCGAGGAAGGACAUCACCCACAGAAGAAGCACCGGCUAACUCCGUGCCAGCAGCCGCGGUAAUACGGAGGGUGCAAGCGUUAAUCGGAAUUACUGGGCGUAAAGCGCGCGUAGGCGGUCUGAUAAGCCGGUUGUGAAAGCCCCGGGCUCAACCUGGGAACGGCAUCCGGAACUGUCAGGCUAGAGUGCAGGAGAGGAAGGUAGAAUUCCCGGUGUAGCGGUGAAAUGCGUAGAGAUCGGGAGGAAUACCAGUGGCGAAGGCGGCCUUCUGGACUGACACUGACGCUGAGGUGCGAAAGCGUGGGUAGCAAACAGGAUUAGAUACCCGUGUAGUC